rnacentral:rRNA from 1 species
CAGUCGCCGCGGGAAUACAGAGGGUGCGAGCGUUAAUCGGAUUUACUGGGCGUAAAGCGUGCGUAGGCGGCUAAUUGAGUCGGAUGUGAAAUCCCCGAGCUUAACUUGGGAAUUGCAUUCGAUACUGGUUAGCUAGAGUGUGGGAGAGGAUGGUAGAAUUCCAGGUGUAGCGGUGAAAUGCGUAGAGAUCUGGAGGAAUACCGAUGGCGAAGGCAGCCAUCUGGCCUAACACUGACGCUGAGGUACGAAAGCAUGGGGAGCAAACAGGAUUAGAUACCCCUGUAGUCCCUGUCUCUAUACA